rnacentral:rRNA from 1 species
UGACCUCGGAUCAGGUAGGACUACCCGCUGAACUUAAGCAUAUCAAUAAGCGGAGGAAAAGAAACCAACAGGGAUUGCCCCAGUAACGGCGAGUGAAGCGGCAACAGCUCAAAUUUGAAAUCUGGCCCUCGGGUCCGAGUUGUAAUUUGGAGAGGAUGCUUUUGGCGCGGCGCCGUCCGAGUUCCUUGGAACAGGACGCCAUAGAGGGUGAGAGCCCCGUACGGGCGGCCGCCUAGCCUCUGUAAAGCUCCUUCGACGAGUCGAGUAGUUUGGGAAUGCUGCUCAAAAUGGGAGGUAAAUUUCUUCUAAAGCUAAAUACUGGCCAGAGACCGAUAGCGCACAAGUAGAGUGAUCGAAAGAUGAAAAGCACUUUGAAAAGAGGGUUAAAAAGUACGUGAAAUUGUUGAAAGGGAAGCGCCUGUGACCAGACUUGCGGCCCGUGGACCAUCCGGUGUUCUUCACCGGUGCACUCUGCGGGCUGCAGGCCAGCAUCGGUUCUCCUAGGGGGAUAAAGGUCGCGGGAACGUAGCUCUUUCGGGAGUGU